rnacentral:rRNA from 1 species
CUAUACAUGACUCUGUGCAUAUCAAUAAGCGGAGGAAAAGAAACUAACAAGGAUUCCCUUAGUAACGGCGAGUGAAGCGGGAAGAGCUCAAAUUUGAAAUCUUCAAGGGUUCUACCUUUACGAAUUGUAGUUUAAAGAAGUGUUUUCUGUUGGAGUUUUCGGUAAAAGUUCUUUGGAAUAGGACAUCAUAGAGGGUGAGAAUCCCGUAUUUGACUCAGUUACUUUCCAGCUGUGUGAUACACUUUCAAAGAGUCGGAUUGUUUGGGAAUGCAGUCCAAAAUGGGUGGUAAAUUUCAUCUAAAGCUAAAUAUUGGCGAGAGACCGAUAGCGAUCAAGUACCGUGAGGGAAAGAUGAAAAGGACUUUGAAAAGAGAGUUAAACAGUACGUGAAAUUGUCAAAAGGGAAGCGUUUGACACCAGUGUUGUUUUUCUCGAAAAUCAAUUAAAAAUGGCCGGAUUUUGUGUUGUAUUGACUUUAUCAGCUUUCUGCACUUUUUUCUUGUCUUUUUUAAUGCACUUUUCGUUUAACAAGUCAACAUCAAUUUCUUUUGUUGUAAAAGGGUCAUUGGAAGGUGGCUUUCUUUUCGGAGAAAGUGUUUAUAGCCUUUGGCCUCUGCAAUCGGAGAGAUUGAGGUCUGCAGCGUAGAUCCUUCGGGGUUAGAUGCAUUUGUGCUAAGCUAUAGCCUUUCAUAGACAACUUGUUGACUAUGUUUAGUCUUGUAGCUUACUCGCUUAUGCUAUUUUACCUACGCUUAGGAUGUUGAUAGUCACAGCGUGUAC